CCUCAUAAAUCUAGCAAAAUCUAUCUCUCUCCUCACUCCCUCAUUUUCGAUCACCACCUUCUCUCCCUCAUCUCUCACUUCACCUCCAUUGACAACCAUUAACAAGACCUUCGGAGCUUCACAAAAUCACACCAAAAACACAAAUCACCCUCUAAAUCCACCUUAAACACCUUCCAUCUCCUUAGAUUCAAGAAGAUCCAUGGAGAUUCAAUCUUGAAGUUAGAGAGAGAAAGUUUGGUUUUGGGUGUAAGUUUGGACACAAGCAGAGCAAGGGAGUAAGUACCUCCGCCUUGACGGGAGAUUUUGAGUAAGGUCUUCAGGCUAAGCAAGGAGUGAGAUUGGUCUGGUGCUGGUGGGGGAUCGUUAGAUGACGAAUUUACUUUAUCGUAUUUCCUUUUUAUCGAUAAAGUCUUGAUGUGGAAUUACUUUGAAUAUGAAUCAAGUAAUAUACUCACGGUUAUGUGUCUUCAUACAUAUAAUCGGUUCGCCUUUUGCUGCGAUACUCUGCAUAUUAUGCUUCCUUAUGAAAAAUGAGCUAUACCCGUUUUGUUUUUGUUUGUGAAAUUCCUGAUAAAUAAAAAGUUAUAACGACGUUGACGAUUUUA